UCGCGUUACAUUGGUCGAAUUCCAUGAAACCGAAACCGAUUCCAAUUAUUCUCGAUUGCGCGCAUUACAUUUUUUUCUUUUUCGAAUCUUCAUCGGUGUUUACAAACAAAAAUCACUGUUUGACACGACAACCCGCCAGUGUUCUUGAUUCCAUUGGAGAAUUAUUGGCCCACGUGAUUUCUAUGGAUCGAUCAUAAAAAUUCAAUCCAUAAGAUGAUUGUGGAGAUGAACUAACAGCCGAACAAAUCGUAUUAUUAUUUUCAUUGAUUUUUUAAUAAGAAUAUGAUGAGUGAUGAACCCAAUGUCAUCACGAAAAAUACGAUGGCUGAGUUGGAGCAGUUUUUUUCAGAAGUAAUCAAUUUCUGCCUGGCAAAUUAACAAACCAAUUUAGAAGCGUCCCUACCCUAGUAGCACUGAUGUCCGAAAGCCAACUAUAAGAUAUUACAUGGAUAACUCUGCUCGUCAUUAAAUAUGAUAUUCAUUUGAUGUCUUGAUAUAAAGCUCACCUGACCGACGCCGUCAGCCGAUCGUCUGCCACUUCAAUCAGUGAUUGUUUCGAAUUUGUGCAAAGUUAUUCUACUAGAGACGAUUAGGAAAAUGAAGAUUUUCAUAAAGUGUUCAUCGGAUUAUGGCAAGGUCUUUGGAGUAUUCGCAUGGGGCUUAUUGAUCUAGGCGAGAUUUCCUGGUUACCACAAACGUUUUGCAGUCAGUGGCUUCCACAACCAAUGUGACCAAUGUCUGAAGAGCAUAUUUCAGAGGAUCAGAUCUUCAGGCAACAAUCAGACAACAGAUCAACAGUGAUGGAUAGCAAGGAUGGGGCAUGAUAACCGACGAGGACGAGGAACACAAUGAUACGACGUUUAGCAGCACGAUCAUUGGAAUCAACAAACAUGAGGAUGCAACAGAGGAACAGUAGCAAAGCUCGCAUACUCGAGCUUCACGUUGCAGCACACGCCCGAAUUUUCAGACAACUCAAUGAUCUCGUCGAAUUGAAUGGUUCGAACGACAUCCGCAGGGACAGCGAGCCCCCAGGGACAGAAAAAGCGGUACCGAUAGCAGCCAACAAACGAAGAUUGCACGAAGAAAACAACAACGUUUGGUUGUACGUAAAAUUGUUUAAAAUCUAUUUGCAUACAUUCCAAUUGGCAUUUCAAUAUUACGUGAUCUGUUACGCGAAUUUUAUAUCGUUUUUGAAUUUUUUAUGUACAAAGAAUUCUGUUUUACUAUAACAUUUUGUUAUAAAACGAUUUGUGGUAAAAUUUUUAAUUUUUUAA